AUAUUUACCUAGCAGGGGAGAUACCAUGAUCACGAAGGUGGUUUUCCUAGGGCGAGGCUUAUCCAUUGCACUCCAGUGUGCUGACCCCUGCAAUUUCCCCAAAUGCAGGAAACUCGACUGCAAAAUCUGUGGUAGUGGGGGACUGCAUCUCCACUUUCCCCUG
rnacentral:snRNA from 1 species